UAUAUUUUGAUGUAAUUUGCAUAUAAAAUUUUGAAUUUUAAGGGAUUAAGAAUAUUAAUAAAUAUAA
rnacentral:tRNA from 1 species